rnacentral:rRNA from 1 species
UCGUAACAAGGUCUCCGUUGGUGAACCAGCGGAGGGAUCAUUACUGAGUUUACGCUCUAUAACCCUUUGUGAACAUACCUAUAACUGUUGCUUCGGCGGGUAGGGUCUCCGUGACCCUCCCGGCCUCCCGCCCCCGGGCGGGUCGGCGCCCGCCGGAGGAUAACCAAACUCUGAUUUAACGACGUUUCUUCUGAGUGGUACAAGCAAAUAAUCAAAACUUUUAACAACGGAUCUCUUGGUUCUGGCAUCGAUGAAGAACGCAGCGAAAUGCGAUAAGUAAUGUGAAUUGCAGAAUUCAGUGAAUCAUCGAAUCUUUGAACGCACAUUGCGCCCGCCAGCAUUCUGGCGGGCAUGCCUGUUCGAGCGUCAUUUCAACCCUCAAGCUCUGCUUGGUGUUGGGGCCCUACAGCUGAUGUAGGCCCUCAAAGGUAGUGGCGGACCCUCCCGGAGCCUCCUUUGCGUAGUAACUUUACGUCUCGCACUGGGAUCCGGAGGGACUCUUGCCGUAAAACCCCCAAUUUUCCAAAGGUUGACCUCGGAUCAGGUAGGAAUACCCGCUGAACUUAA